rnacentral:rRNA from 1 species
UGGUGGAGUGAUUUGUCUGGUUAAUUCCGAUAACGAACGAGACUCUGUCCUGCUAACUAGGUUGUGUUUUCUCGGGUUGGUGUUUCUGGUGUUCCUUCUCGGGGCGCCGGCCCAAUCCACUUGUGAACACAACACUCUUCCUAGAGGGACUGGCGGCUGUUAGCCGCACGAGAUAGAGCAAUAACA